CUCUCGAUUUAGAUACUAACUUUUUGAACUCUCUUACAUUGAGAUUUUACUUUAGAGUAUGGCGAACUCUUUGGUAAUGAAGUUUUUAACAAGGGGAAAAUAAUCCUUAAUCAAGGAUUUGUUGGUCGUCCAAUUUGUGAUAUACAAGUUUCGGCGAAGGAAUUGAACUUAAUAGUCAGAAGUUAUGAUCUGCAAUCACUCUGCAGUGCAGUAUUAAAGACGAAGGAACACGAAUGUAAAGAGAUCACGCCAGCGGAAACUCCAUCGUUCUUCAAUACAGCGGACAAAGUGCUAAAUCUAAUGCAUGUGUCGUUAAAAGAAGCAAAAUACAUUAUGACUAUAGUGAUGGAUCUCAAUAUA